rnacentral:rRNA from 1 species
GGGCCCGCACAAGCGGUGGAGUAUGUGGUUUAAUUCGAAGAUACGCGCAGAACCUUACCAACACUUGACAUGUUCGUCGCGACUCUAAGAGAUUAGAGUUUUCGGUUCGGCCGGACGAAACACAGGUGCUGCAUGGCUGUCGUCAGCUCGUGUCGUGAGAUGUUGGGUUAAGUCCCGCAACGAGCGCAACCCUCACUUUUAGUUGCCAUCAUUAAGUUGGGCACUCUGAAAGAACUGCCAGUGAUAAGCUGGAGGAAGGUGGGGAUGACGUCAAGUCCUCAUGGCCCUUACGUGUUGGGCUACACACGUGCUACAAUGGUAUCUACAACAGGAAGCAAGACUGCGAAGUUAAGCAAAUCCCUAAAAGAUACCUCAGUUCGGAUUGCACUCUGCAACUCGAGUGCAUGAAGCUGGAAUU